rnacentral:sRNA from 1 species
AAAAUGUGAGUGGAUGAAAAAUAUUUGUUUCUUCUUAAUGCUGAUACCUAGGAGUGUCAAAAUGGGUAACCCAACUCAACUCAACUCAUAAUCAAAUGAGUUUAAAGUUAAAUGAGUUAUAGGUUGACCCAACUCAUUUUGUUAAAUAGAUUGGAUCAAACUAUAACUCAUUUAAUUUGAUGAGUUGAGUUGUUAAAUGGGUUAACACAUUUAAGUAAUAAUUAA